ensembl:snRNA U6 U6 spliceosomal RNA
GUGCUUGCUUCGGCAGCACAUAUACUAAAAUUGGAACGAUACAGAGAAGAUUAGCAUGGCCCCUGCACAAGGAUGACACGCAAUUGGUGAAGCGUUCCAUAUUUUU